AGUGUGAAAACUAUGAUAAAGCGAGAACCCGACUGAGAAGCAGCAGACCUCGCUGACCUUGGGCUCUACGGACACUGGUGAAUAUUAGCAUACUGUGCUCCAAGCUCCUGAUUUAGCAAGAACUGAUCUUCUAGAAAUGGGCCAGGCCCUUGGGUGCAACCUAGGACUCCACAGAGUGGGAGCAGUUUGCGGUGCAUUGAGAAGGUGUCGGCUUCCCACGUGUGGUUGGUGGAAGACGUAUUCUCUUUACCACUGUUUUGAUUCCAAGACGCUCUCAUCUUAACCAGUGGCUGAAGAUGACACUGGGAUGAUCUGUGGGACAGUUUGCCCUUUAAAAUCCAUUGGUUUGGGAAUUAAGAGAUCAGCUGUGUUCAUCCAACUUGAAAGUGAGCUAGAAAAAUAACAUACUUUGCUGGCUUCAUCUCUCAUAAAUCUCUCUUCAGUCUGAAGUGUUGUGCCAGAACUUUCCUCACUGUCACCACCAUAGGAGCGAGUUUCUGGCUAAUGACCCAUCCUAUGGUCAAUUGCUUCUUUCUUCAUUUGAUGGCUGGGAAGGGCACAGUGACUUCCACACUGAGGAGACGAAGACGCAGUUUGAUGACCAGGGGCACUUUGAGCAAGUGUAACAGGUCCCACCGAUCCUGCCUCUUUGAAUCAGGUGCGGAGGGUAGUAUUUGGUAGCCCAGGACAAGAGUGUCUCCAGGAGACACUUACAAAUUGGUCGUCCCUUUGUUGUAAGCAGAGUGGUUGGCACCUGGUCCAGAACAAGGCCUUCAGCACUAGAGAACAUUCCCAAGCACAUCAAACACUCCACACGUUGCCUUCCUUAUGAAAUGAGAAAAGACUCUGCAAGAAAUAAAACACAGGUGAGGAAAGCUGACAAAUAAUUAGGAAAAGUAAGAUGAGAGUCAGAUUCGACAUGCUGUACUAUCAAAAACGUAAUGAGAAACAGCUCCAUUAACUUUGCUUGAGUAACUAGAUGCAUAUACUCUUAGGACUUAAAUCACGAGCAAAGCGGAAAUUGCCUAA